AAUCAAACCCAGCCCACUCUCCAGGAAUUAAUCAGCUGCUGUCACGUUCAAUGCCAAGGCAAAAAGAGCUGCCGCUUGAAAACAGUGACUCGGAAAUCAGCAGGACAGACAGCUCACUCUAGUCCUUUCAUCAGAGUUACCUCGGGCUGCCAGGCUCCUCUGUUCGUGGAAUUUCUCAGGCAAGAAUACUGGAGCAGGUUGCCAUUUCCUACUCCAGGGGAUCUUCCCAACCCAGGAAUCGAAGUCACAUCCUCUGUGUCUCCUGCACUGACAGAGAAUGAAAAUAUUGUCCAGACAUGGAAGCAACCUAGAUGCCCAUCAGCAGAUGAAUGGAUAAGGAAGCUGUGGUACAUAUACACCAUGGAAUAUUACUCAGCCAUUAAAAAGAAUUCAUUUGAAUCAGUUCUAAUGAGAUGGAUGAAACUGGAGCCCAUUAUACAGA